UUUCCCGAAGGGAAAUAAUAAGCCCCAGGAAAGUAGCCUGAGGCAUGUCGGGAGGAAAAUAGCCCGAGGCAUGUCGGGAAUGCACCUGGGUCGCCUUGGAAGUGAACCGCCACAUUUCACUCUAUCCUGGGUGGACAAGUGUUAGUUACUUCCAGAAACUGGAGAGCAGAUGCUUGGAAAGUGAAGACGACAUGUUCACGGUGCCAAGUCACACGAGGUUGGGACUUUUGUAAAAGUACAUUUCCAACGUAGACGUAAAGCCUAGGAACCACUUCAAUCAAAGCUGUGGGUUAACACACUGCAUCCUUCUACCAAGGGCUAAUUCUCAUCCACUGUUCUACCCACCACCACAGAGUGCCUGAUACAGGGCCUACCUAGUGAAAACACCAUUAUGUGUGGACUUAAAGUAAGCUUUGAUGCACUCCAGGGACUUCAGUGGCUGGAGAUGUGUUGUCUGAAACAUACUUUAAAUGGAAGGAUGCAGCUUAAAAGUAAACAGACAAGAAAAGAUGAUCCGUAAAACCAGUAAUGGUGUCUGUGUCAAGCGAGCAGUCCUUUUACUAGAAACAAAUGGGGCCCAAUGUAAUGAUGAAAGAAUCAAUUCAUCAGAAAGCCUUCACCGUCAUGAGUACCUGUGCAUCUAAGACAGAGCUUCAGAUGAUACAAGUAAUAUAAUACAAGCUAAAAAUAGACACAAACAAAUCUACAAACAUGGCUAGAUUGAUAUAUUUUUUUCAGUAAUGGAUGAAACAAGUAACCAAAGAGUCAUGAAAUAGACAAACACCCAAACCCUGUGUCGACGCCAUCAACUGUAGACACAUCUACUUAGAUCUAAUUGAGAUUCAUCCAGAGAAAACAAUAUUUGUCAUCUCUGGAUUAAAUUAUUUGUGGAAUAUAAAUAAAAGGAGGCUGGGGUGUAGCUCGGUGGAGUUUUUAAUCUAGUAUGUUGCAGAACCCGAGUACCUCCAGUACCAAAAAUAAACCCACCCAAAAUUACAAGAAGAGUCACCAAAGUAGCCCAUAUAAUUGGGACAUAAAACAAAAACUGGUAAAUCUCAAAUACUAAAACCAUACAGCAAAUUCUCUGACCACCAUGGAUUAAAAUAGAAAUUGCUAACAAAAUAAAGCCCGAAGAAUUCAUAUAAGCAACAUCCAUGUAAUACAAAUCAAUAAGGGCCAGCAAGAUGGCUCAUCAGGUAAAGAGACAUGGCACCGAGCCUGAAGAUCUGAAUUAGAUCCCCCAGAUCCACAGAGGAGAAGGUGAGGACCAACUCCCAAGGGCUGUCCUCCACAUGUGCCUGUGCACACAAAAUAAAUAAAUGUAACACAACAACAACCAUAACAACAAUGAUAAAUUACCUCAAGUUUUUUUUUAAAAAAAGGCAAGAAGUUGAAAUGGAAAGAAUUUGUUUCUUUUUUCUUUCUUCCUUUUUUUCCUUUCUUGCAAUGCUAUGGAUCUAUCUCUCACCUACUAGGCAAGAAAUCUACCACUAAAGAAUUCCUCAGCUCCAGAAAAGAAACUUUCCAAAAGAAGAUACUAACUGGCCAAUAAAUCCAUGUCAAGGUGACCAAAGUCAUCAUUCAGUGGGGGAAACACAAAUUUACACUGAGGUAUCACUUCAUAGCCACUACGAUGCCAACAGAUGGCCAAGAGUGCCAACGAAGAAGGGAGCCACCAGGACUCACACACAUUGUGUCAGUGUAAAUUGAUGUAAUCUAUAAGGAAUAGAAUUGGUUACAAGCACCAAUCUCAUGCAUUUGAGAUAAACCGAAUGCAUGUGUGUGCAAAAAAGAGGGUCUUGAAAGUUCAUGGUAGUUUUGUUCACAACAGUUCACAGGGGGAAACAAGCCCAAACGUGUGUUCCUCAGCAAGAGCAUGCACAGACAAAUUUGAGACAUACACAGCCGCAGAGAGGAAUGACCCGGUGGUGCAUGUAACAUGAAUAAAUCCCGAUAGUGGAGCUGGGCGUGGAAAGCAGGAAAAUUGAGAGUUCGAAGCCAACCUGGGUUAUACAGGAAGACCCUUGUCUUAAAAUGUACAUAAAUCUAGAAAGGGUUUAAGAAAGGGCAGCUGUGAGAGAACAUAGCCUGUGCAGUCAUCACAGGAGCUCUAAGGGCCAAGGAAGUUCACCUCUGUCUAUUCAAGUCAAACAGUUAACCUGUGUAUUGGCAGAAGAACCCAGUGACAAGCAAGCAGGGCAUUUCUGAGGGUGGAAACUGACUGGAUCUUUCUAUGGAUGAAGCUUAUAUACACAGGAUGUGUACAUAUGUGAAAACUCAUUAAGUUUGUGUUUUAUUGGAUGCCAGCUAUGCCUCAAAAAUAAAUCCCCACAUACAUGGUUUUCAUUUGAAAAUACAAGACAGACCGAUAACAUUGGGCCCACGCUCCUCCGUGGCCACAGCUGGCUCUUGAAACACAUGUGUCACUUCACCACAGACCUUGCCACAAUGUCGACACCCCAACCCAUCCCGCCCAUUUCUACUGCCUGCCUUGCUCCACAUUGCCUGACUCCAACUACUUUGGCACAUCCUCUCAGGCUGUGAGUCCCGAGCAAAGCACAACAGCAGCCUCCAACCCAGCCUGCCAGCUAGCCAACUGAUCCGGCUUGAAUUGUGUUUCUGCCUGGCGUUUGAAAAUAGGACUGCUUCCUUCAUACAGAGCCAACGACUCGAUGGGACAAGAAGCCUCAAAAGAGCGCUCCUAAAUAAACUUCUGAGUAAUCAAGACUGCUCGAGCAGCUAAUUGGAGAAAUAAAAGAAAUAUGAUAUUCCAAG